rnacentral:rRNA from 1 species
GUGGGGAAUCUUGCGCAAUGGGCGAAAGCCUGACGCAGCCAUGCCGCGUGAAUGAUGAAGGUCUUAGGAUUGUAAAAUUCUUUCACCGGGGACGAUAAUGGCGGUACCCGGAGAAGAAGCCCCGGCUAACUUCGUGCCAGCAGCCGCGGUAAUACGAAGGGGGCUAGCGUUGCUCGGAAUUACUGGGCGUAAAGGGCGCGUAGGCGGACAGUUUAGUCAGAGGUGAAAGCCCAGGGCUCAACCUUGGAAUUGCCUUUGAUACUGGCUGUCUUGAGUACGGGAGAGGUGAGUGGAACUCCGAGUGUAGAGGUGAAAUUCGUAGAUAUUCGGAAGAACACCAGUGGCGAAGGCGACUCACUGGCCCGUUACUGACGCUGAGGCGCGAAAGCGUGGGGAGCAAACAGGAUUAGAAACCCCUGUAGUCC